CCUCCUCGUUUUCCCUUGGCCUCUUUAACCUUGUCUUUGACCCUUCGCAGCAAGGAGCCUUGCAGUUGGAGAAGCAUCUAGGAUAGAAUACACGUAUACCGAGGCGAAGAAGAGGAAGGAAGGAGGAAAAAUCAAACAACUGUAUGGUUAACAGUGAUAUCCAUUAUCGAGCGGCUAUAAAAGAUGCGUCGGACGAUGAUUAUAUCAAAUAGGUCAGCGUGAUACGUUGUAAAACAUGCAACAUGGCCAUCCACCUCCUUCGUCGUCGUCCACCCUCUGCCUGCAUUUUGAAACGAGCCAUCAAGCGACGGCCGUGUGUAUAGCCGUACAAGGCAAUCAAGUCCUGCUAUCCAAUCUGAUUGUUGUGUGUAUAGACAUAUCUAUAUAAGCGUACAUAUACACGCCCGGGAAAUUGAAGAGAACAUUUUCAA